ensembl:lncRNA
AUCUGAUGUUGCUAUGAUGUUGUUACGAGUGGGUAGUGUGACCUUGAGUGCUAAUGAUGAUAACAUAGGAUGAAUAAGCCCUACUGUUCUGAAGUGCUGAAGCUUCAUCUGAGAAUGGUCUUGAGUAGAAAAAAAUUGGCAAGGACUUGAUUUCUGGGGAGGUGCCCUACAACCCCUACUCACUGUUUGAGAAGAGGAAUUUGAUAUAAUGUAAUUGUGUAGCCUAAGAUGGAAUAUAGAAGAACCAUAAAAAACAAAACAAAAAAUCAUGCAAAACUGAAAUGGAAGAAUCGUCUUUCUCGAUCAUAUAUAUAAAUUCUACAUGAGCAUAAGGAAGGCAAACAAAUCGUCUUCAAACGAUGACAGAGAGAUGCCCUUCAGAAAAAAAAUCAUGGUUAAAAUUCCUUGUUAAUCCCUGAGCAGCAAAUUGUUUGAGAUAUCUGACAGUCAUUCUCGUCUCUUCAUACUCUUCUGUACUGGAAAAACAGUUGUUCUGGAGACUGCAGUGCCAAGGCCUGUCUAGUAAUCUGUGCAGUAACAGGGAAAAUGAAUUAUUAAACUGCUUUCUUUCUUUUAGUAAACAAAUACUCAAAUGAACACUUCACCUCUUUCUUAUUUAUUUCCAUCCUCCUUCUCUCCAUUGGAUUGUGAAGUAUGGCUUGGAUCACAAGAUCACAGUGCAAUGUUCCUUGCAUGGCGUUCAGGGUGUAUGAAGGAGAAAAGGGAAGUGAAGCACAUGAUUCAAUUGCAAGUCACUAGACAUAAGGCUGCCGUUAGGUGCUGUGAUGCAGCAGCAGUUAAACUAGUCAUUUGUGAAAGAAAGGGCUAUGUGUUUGUGGUGGCAUGGCACAGAAGGCUGAGGAUAGAGUAAAAAACAGCAGCUAGCAUAAAAUUCUUCCUUUCAGAAGAUAAUCAUGCUGUGGCUCCUCAAUGAGUUUCAAACUGUUGCCUACUGUGUUGUCUGCUGUUGUUGUAUGGUUCUUAGGAGAGGAGUUAAAGAACACUUCAGAUAGGUAGAGGCAAGGGAGAUGCUUUGGGGAAGAGUUUUGGCAGGAAAUUUUCCUUUGUUUUUUGUUCUAUUGGCCAAAAUAAGUGUUCAGGGCUUUCUUUAAACCUGAAAUGGAGAAGUAUUUUAGUGUGUGCAUAUGUGUGUGUCAGUUUUUGAGUAAUAAAAUUC